rnacentral:rRNA from 1 species
CCAGCUCCAAUAGCGUAUACUAAAGUUGUUGCAGUUAAAAAGCUCGUAGUUGAAUCUCUGGUCGUGACUGUCGGUCCAUCCUUUACUGGGUGUGUACUAGCGGGUUUCGUCCAUCUUCGGAGAAAACGGGUCUGGCAUUAAGUUGUCGGGUUCGGUGUCUCCGUCAUUUACUGUGAGCAAACUAGAGUGUUCAAAGCAGGCUUACGCCGUUGAAUACAUUAGCAUGGAAUAAUAAGAUAAGACCUUGGUCUAUUUUGUUGGUUAUAUUCCAAGGUAAUGAUUAAUAGGGAUAGUUGGGGGUAUUCGUAUUCAAUUGUCAGAGGUGAAAUUCUUGGAUUUAUGGAAGACGAACUACUGCGAAAGCAUUUACCAAAUAUGUUUUCA